rnacentral:rRNA from 1 species
UACAGAGGGGGCAAGCGUUGUUCGGAAUUACUGGGCGUAAAGGGCGCGUAGGCGGCCUUCUAAGUCGAACGUGAAAUCCCUGGGCUCAACCCAGGAACUGCGUCCGAUACUGGAAGGCUUGAAUCCGGGAGAGGGAUGCGGAAUUCCAGGUGUAGCGGUGAAAUGCGCAGAUAUCAGGAAGAACACCCGUGGCGAAGGCGGUUCUCUGGGACGGUACUGACGCUGAGACGCGAAAGCGUGGGGAGCGAACAGG